AUUCAGAGCCCCAGCCUGUUCAUAAAAAAAAUCAGAUGAAUUUUGUCUGCGGAACAUUCUGCAAAAAUAUCUGACCAGUAAGUAAUCCUCUAAAUAGCCACAGCCAUCAACAGCAAGGAAAGUCUGAGAAAGUGUCACAGCCAAGAGGACCCUAUAAAGACAUGAUGACUAAAUGUAACAUGGUGUCUUCCAUGGGAUCCUGAAACAGAAAAAGGACAUUAGGAAAAGAAGGACAAAACUAUCUGAAGCCCUGUAAAAAGUCUGAGUCAUUUCUGCUCUAUUUCUUUCCCUACGAAUGGUAAGAGCUGGGGAUUGUGGUAUGUGCCUUUAGUCCUAGCUACUCCGGAGGCUGAGGCAGGAGGAUCACCUGAGCCCAGGACUUUGAGGCCGCUGUAAGCUAUGAUCAUGCCACUGCACUCCAGCUCAGGCAACAGUGAGACCCGGUCUCAACAAACAAAAGAAAAUAAAAGAAUGGUAGACAAGGAAAGCAGUUGAACAGCUAUGCGAGAAGCCUACUUUCUCUUCAUGUAACACGUUGGCCUAAGAGAUCUAUAGAGCUUUUUAAAAACAAAGAAGGCAGCAAGAUUUAAAAUAAUAAAACCAGCAAUAGGUAUUUUUAAAAGUGAGAGAAACUAUCAGAGAGCUGUAGCAGAAAAGCAAGUUAAAAAUAAAGGAAACAGAAAAGGAACUGAUACAGCUGAUUUGAUACUGGAAAAAUCACCCAGGAGGCAGCGUGGACAAUGGAUUGGAGAAG
rnacentral:lncRNA from 1 species